UUUAAGUGCUGACUGUCACUAAGGGAAACUUUUCUUCUGGAGAUUGGUUCUUGUGGAUUUUACUGCAAGCCUAUGAUAUCAUUUAUUUACAUCCUACAAGGAAGCUUCUUCAGACCCACACUUGCUGCUUCAUUUCAUCAUCAAGUGCUACCUGCAAACUCUGGAAGUGAAGCCAUGUUAGGUGGAAGCUUGGGCACAGAUCUCAUGACUGCUACCCUGAAAAACCUGCUGUGUGCCAGACCCAUCAGUGUGUGAGGCUGAAUGGUCAUCCUUCUGGUGGAAUGCAACUGUAAACUACUCC